UUGAGAAUGAAAGUUGGAGGGGUAGUAGGAGGAGUUCUUAAAACCUAAAAUUUUUGGCGGUUUUUUAGUCUAGUUAGAGGAAUCUGUUCUGUAAUAGAUGUUCCGCUUUAAGUUUAACUCUGGGGAUUUGUUUAUAUACCGCCGUCGUAAAGUGAAUUUUUUAGACUUUAUUUGGGGGCUGAAAAGAAAGAGAUUUGGAAAAGCUUUGAAGGAAAUAUGUCAGGUCAAGGUGUAGCUGGUACUGGAGGGUGAGAUGGAUUACAAUCUUGGAUUGGGGGAUGGAUGGAGACUGGUGGGAAGUUAUUGCUGGUUGAAAAUGGAUUUAUGAGUAAAAUUUUUAUUAAAAUUGGAGUGUGAAAUGGAGCUCUAAAAAAUGU
rnacentral:rRNA from 1 species